rnacentral:rRNA from 1 species
UACGUAGGGGUGCAAGUCGUUCGUCGGAAUUAUUGGGCGUAAAGAGCUCGUAGGCGGUCUGUUGCGUCGGCUAGUCGAAACCGGGGCUCAACCCGGGCCUGCAGCCGAAUACGGGCAGACGUAGAUGUACGGGAAGGAGGUAGCUGGGAAUUCCCGGUGUAGCGGUGAAAUGACGUAGAUAUCGGGAGGAACACCGAUGAGGCCGGAAGGGCGGGAGCUGAC